rnacentral:rRNA from 1 species
UAAUAUUCCCGUACUUGGUGUUACUGCGAAGGGGGGACGGAGAAGGCUAUGUUGGCCGGGCGACGGUUGUCCCGGUUUAAGCGUGUAGGUAUGUGUUCCAGGUAAAUCCGGUUCACUUUAACACUGAGGCGUGACGACGAGGCACUACGGUGCUGAAGCAACAAAUGCCCUGCUUCCAGGAAAAGCCUCUAAGCAUCAGGUAACAUCAAAUCGUACCCCAAACCGACACAGGUGGUCAGGUAGAGAAUACCAAGGCGCUUGAGAGAACUCGGGUGAAGGAACUAGGCAAAAUGGUGCCGUAACUUCGGGAGAAGGCACGCUGACACGUAGGUGAAGUGAUUUACUCACGGAGCUGAAGUCAGCCGAAGAUACCAGCUGGCUGCAACUGUUUAUUAAAAACACAGCACUGUGCAAACACGAAAGUGGACGUAUACGGUGUGACGCCUGCCCGGUGCCGGAAGGUUAAUUGAUGGGGUCAGCGCAAGCGAAGCUCCUGAUCGAAGCCCCGGUAAACGGCGGCCGUAACUAUAACGGUCCUAAGGUAGCGAAAUUCCUUGUCGGGUAAGUUCCGACCUGCACGAAUGGCGUAAUGAUGGCCAGGCUGUCUCCACCCGAGACUCAGUGAAAUUGAACUCGCUGUGAAGAUGCAGUGUACCCGCGGCAAGACGGAAAGACCCCGUGAACCUUUACUAUAGCUUGACACUGAACAUUGAGCCUUGAUGUGUAGGAUAGGUGGGAGGCUUUGAAGUGUGGACGCCAGUCUGCAUGGAGCCGACCUUGAAAUACCACCCUUUAAUGUUUGAUGUUCUAACGUGGACCCGUGAUCCGGGUUGCGGACAGUGUCUGGUGGGUAGUUUGACUGGGGCGGUCUCCUCCUAAAGAGUAACGGAGGAGCACGAAGGUUGGCUAAUCCUGGUCGGACAUCAGGAGGUUAGUGCAAUGGCAUAAGCCAGCUUGACUGCGAGCGUGACGGCGCGAGCAGGUGCGAAAGCAGGUCAUAGUGAUCCGGUGGUUCUGAAUGGAAGGGCCAUCGCUCAACGGAUAAAAGGUACUCCGGGGAUAACAGGCUGAUACCGCCCAAGAGUUCAUAUCGACGGCGGUGUUUGGCACCUCGAUGUCGGCUCAUCACAUCCUGGGGCUGAAGUAGGUCCCAAGGGUAUGGCUGUUCGCCAUUUAAAGUGGUACGCGAGCUGGGUUUAGAACGUCGUGAGACAGUUCGGUCCCUAUCUGCCGUGGGCGCUGGAGAACUGAGGGGGGCUGCUCCUAGUACGAGAGGACCGGAGUGGACGCAUCACUGGUGUUCGGGUUGUCAUGCCAAUGGCACUGCCCGGUAGCUAAAUGCGGAAGAGAUAAGUGCUGAAAGCAUCUAAGCACGAAACUUGCCCCGAGAUGAGUUCUCCCUGAGACUUUAGGUCUCCUGAAGGAACGUUGAAGACGACGACGUUGAUAGGCCGGGUGUGUAAGCGCAGCGAUGCGUUGAGCUAACCGGUACUAAUGAACCGUGAGGCUUAACCUUACAACGCCGAAG